CUUUGAUCCUGGCUCAGGAUGAACGCUAGCGACAGGCUUAACACAUGCAAGUCGAGGGGCAGCGGGGGCGGAAGCUUGCUUUCGCCUGCCGGCGACCGGCGCACGGGUGAGUAACACGUAUGCAACCUGCCCGAGGCAGGGGGAUAAGCCGGAGAAAUCCGGUCUAAUACCGCGUAACACCCGGGGCGGACAUCCGCUCCGGGUCAAAGGAAGCGAUUCCGGCCACGGAUGGGCAUGCGUCGCAUUAGGCAGUUGGCGGGGUAACGGCCCACCAAACCGACGAUGCGUAGGGGUUCUGAGAGGAAGGUCCCCCACACUGGUACUGAGACACGGACCAGACUCCUACGGGAGGCAGCAGUGAGGAAUAUUGGUCAAUGGGCGAAAGCCUGAACCAGCCAAGUCGCGUGAGGGAAGACGGUCCUAUGGAUUGUAAACCUCUUUUGUCAGGGAGCAAAACCGCCACGCGUGGCGAGACUGAGAGUACCUGAAGAAAAAGCAUCGGCUAACUCCGUGCCAGCAGCCGCGGUAAUACGGAGGAUGCGAGCGUUAUCCGGAUUUAUUGGGUUUAAAGGGUGCGUAGGCGGAUUAGUAAGUCAGUGGUCAAAACGGGUGGCUCAACCACCUGUCGCCAUUGAAACUGCAAGUCUUGAGUGAGCGAGAAGUAUGCGGAAUGCGUGGUGUAGCGGUGAAAUGCAUAGAUAUCACGCAGAACUCCGAUUGCGAAGGCAGCAUACCGGCGCUCAACUGACGCUGAAGCACGAAAGCGUGGGGAUCGAACAGGAUUAGAUACCCUGGUAGUCCACGCAGUAAACGAUGAAUACUACUUGUCCGGGCCGAAUGAGGUCUGGGUGAUACAGCGAAAGCGUUAAGUAUUCCACCUGGGGAGUACGCCGGCAACGGUGCAACUCAAAUGAAUUGACGGA
rnacentral:rRNA from 1 species